UUGAAACACUGGUUCUCGUAUGAUCACCAGGUAAGCAACAUCAAGCCUGGUCAGUACCUAGAUGGGUGACCGCUUGGGAAUACCAAGUAUUGUAA